rnacentral:rRNA from 1 species
GACGAACGCUGGCGGCGUGCUUAACACAUGCAAGUCGAGCGGUAAGGCCCUUUCGGGGGUACGACGAGCGGCGAACGGGUGAGUAACACGUGGGUGACCUGCCCUCAGCUCUGGGAUAAGCCUGGGAAACCGGGUCUAAUACUGGAUAUGACUCCAUGACGCAUGUCGUGGGGUGGAAAGCCUUGUGCGGCUGAGGAUGGGCCCGCGGCCUAUCAGCUUGUUGGUGGGGUGANGGCCUACCAAGGCGACGACGGGUAGCCGGCCUGAGAGGGCGACCGGCCACACUGGGACUGAGACACGGCCCAGACUCCUACGGGAGGCAGCAGUGGGGAAUCUUGCGCAAUGGGCGAAAGCCUGACGCAGCGACGCCGCGUGAGGGAUGACGGCCUGG